rnacentral:rRNA from 1 species
UACGUAGGGGGCUAGCGUUGUCCGGAUUUAUUGGGCGUAAAGAGCGUGUAGGCGGCCAAGUAGGUCCGGUGUGAAAACUCGAGGCUUAACCUCGAGAUGUCAUCGGAAACCAUUUGGCUAGAGUCCGGAAGAGGAAAGUGGAAUUCCGCGUGUAGCAGUGAAAUGCGUAGAUAUGCGGAGGAACACCGAUGGCGAAGGCAAUCCCCUGGGCCUGCACUGACGCUCAUGCACGAAAGCGUGGGGAGCAAACAGG